UACAGAGGGGGGCAAGCGUUUGUUCGGAAUUACUGGGCGUAAAGAGCGCGCAGGCGGUCGUUCAAGUCGAGUGUGAAAGCCCCCCGGCUCAACUGGGGAGGGUCACUCGAUACUGAUCGACUCGAAGGCAGGAGAGGGAAGUGGAAUUCCCGGUGUAGUGGUGAAAUGCGUAGAUAUCGGGAGGAACACCAGUGGCGAAGGCGACUUCCUGGCCUGUUCUUGACGCUGAGGCGCGAAAGCUAGGGGAGCAAACAGG
rnacentral:rRNA from 1 species